UGGGCCGCUGACGCCCGUGGUGUGAUUGAUGAUGACGCCGGGGCACGCCUCGCGGAUCGCCUGCUGCACUUCCUUUGACAGGUUCACAUCCCAGGACGGGAUGUGCCCCAUAUCCGGCUCCUGCCGCCGCAGAUGCAUGUGCAUCACCGAUGCGCCGGCAUUGAACGCCGCCUUCGCCUCCCGCGCCAUCUCCUCCGGGGUGACCGGAACAUGGUGCUGCUUGGGAUUGGUCAGCACGCCGUUGAGCGCACAGGUAACGACAGCUUUAUCCAUUCCGGGUCCUCAGGUUCGAUCGCGACGUUGCUCCAAACGGUAAAAGGCGGGGGCUGCCAGCGUCUUGUGAAAACUAGCUGGGCUUGCCACAAUUUUCGGGCGCAUAAUUUCAGAAGACAUGGCGGCUUAACGCAAGUCUGCGCCG
rnacentral:misc_RNA from 1 species